rnacentral:lncRNA from 1 species
UAGUCACAAGUAACAUUAAUGUAAGAAUAUAUUUGAACUUUUAAGGCUCGGUGAUUCAAUAUACAUUCAGCAAGCAACAGAAUGAACACUUUAGUCUUAGAAGCCAUGCAUGAAAAAGCUUAUAAUUCAAUCUUCUACCAACAAAGACCAUAAACAUAAUAAUUCUACAAACAAAGACAAUGCUUGACUAGGGUUCUUCUGAAACUAUAUUCUUUCACUAAAAGCAACUUAAGUCAACCAAAAUAAUUGGUAUUGCCUUACAAUCUGUGAAAACCAUUGCCCUAACACCCAAGAACUCCUAAGGGCUAAUGGCAUGUAUAUGUAUAAUGUAAUACAUAUCAGCAGAACCAUAGACAACAGAACAUCAUUUGUGUACAUGAAUUAAAUCCAUGCAAUAAACAAAUUGAUCUGUACAAAAUAAAAAGACCCUUGUUCUUAAAACAUUAUGUCUUCUUCAUAUCCUUCUGUAUGUUCUCCAUUUUUCUUCUUUACAGGUAACUCCAGCUUCCAGUCCUGUUGAAAUCAAGGUUUAGUCUAUGGAGAUGCUAAAAAAUCUAAUAAGUUUGAUGAAUGGCAUCAUGCCCUUUGUUCAGUCAUUUAUCUGAGAUAAUGGAACCUGCUUUGAAGGGAAAAUAAAACAUGAAAAAGUCAAAAUCAACUUUUGGGGAUUUCUGGCAUGUUAUAGUCUAGAGCUCAAGUUUAUCAAACUUUUGAAGUUAAAUUUACAUUGCACUGAGAACAGAACCUAUAAAAAUCUAGAUGCAAGUUAACCACUAACUAUAACGGAAAUAUUGAAAAUCGUUAUGUUUUUAAUGAUGACGUAUGUACUAAGACAACUUUAAGGAUGCAAUUGCUAAACUGGUGAACGCAACACGAUGAAGAUAAUGUAACUCACCUCCCAACAACCAAGAAGCAGCUUAUUGCUUGCUAGAUUUCCCCCAAAAGAAUCCCUUCUUUUUUGUAGGGUGAUUAUGUAACAUGGAUUUGGAACUGUUUGAGCCAAAUGAGAAGUGUCUCUUCAGAAAUGGCUUCCCAAAGAAUCUUCUCCCACUGGAACUAGAAUCCAUCCUAGGACCUUUACCUUGACACCCUCCAUCUUUAACGCGAUCAAACACAAAAUCAUCUAUUUCACUGUCCACAAUUCGGUUCUUUGAUUUCUUGUUUCCAGCCUUCAAAUCCAUUUCAGCUUUCAGAGCUUUUUCAAACAACUUAAGAGUUUGUUUCUCACCAAAAGUGCAAACUGGACAAGCUGGAUCAUACUUGCUGAUUUCAGGUGUCAUACUCUCCAAACAUUCAGCAUGAUAAACAUGGCCACAAAUAAGAACAGAAACUACAGCAAGGUCAUUACUUGCAAUUAUCUUUUGGGAGCUCCAAGAAGACUUCUCAGUUAAAAGUUUUGAGCAAACACCACAUGUUUGGAAAUCAACCGGAGAUGUUGAAAACCGAUUACUUGAUCUAUGUAACCUUUCAGGGUUAAAACCAAAUGAUUCACUAUCAAACGACCAUCUUUCUCUACGAGAAGUUCCCAUCAGCUCAGAAAAGCCAGGCACAGACCAACCAUCUGAAGAUCCAUCACGGGAGUGCAUACCCAAUUCAUUGUUCCAUGAGGGAAAUACUGGCUUUUCUUCAGACACGUAGAAGCUGCUUGGUGACUUGCAUCCUGGGACUCGGCUGUUAGAAACUUGCCAUAAUAGUUGGUGUCCUGGGGACUGGUAGGGCGACCUUGAUGGGGUUGAGCUGGAGGGUGCAAGAUGACUUUGCGAUGGCAGAGGAGACGCCGACAGCGAAGUAGAAGGUAAUGAUGAUGGCGGCUUUGUCGGAGAUGUACCUGACACUGUUGAUGAUUCUUCCAACCCCUUCACCUAUAAAGUGAUUCAUAAAUAGGAAGUUUGUCAAAUAAACCACACAUAAAGAACAAGCAAAAACAUAAAACAUUAACAGAUUCCUUCACUGCUAUAACCUCACCUGUUCCACGUUCACAUCCAUGGAGACAUUCGUAGAAAUAGAUUGAUCUGAAACAAACAUGUCAGAUACUAUAAAUCAAGCAGUUGAGUCAAUAAUAAUUACCACUGGAUCAAUAACAUGAGCAGUUUACAUAUUGUUAACAGCAGGAUCAAUGUCAUGCAUGGACACACAGGAUGCAUAUAUGCAGAAACAAAUCAUAUGAACUUCACAAUAUAUAGUCAUUGCUUAGCCCUCAUGCAAGGAAAACAUAAGUUGCAAAUGUCAACAAAAAAUAAUUUUCAUCCAGGGAUUUCCAUUGUUAAUCGAUCUGUAAUGUCACUAUAAAAUCUUGCAAACUUCUAGUUAACCCAAAAAAAAAAAUUCAGACCAUCAUCAUCCAUGAUUUUUUUUAUAAGGGAAACUUCCAUGACCAUAGCUUACAAUAUUUUCUUUUUCAUUUACAUAACCACAUACUGGACUGUGAUGAACCAUUCCUCACUAAAAAAUACAACCAUCUCUAUAUCAAAUUAUCAAAUGCCAACAGUGAGGAAAAAGUUUCAAUAAUCUAUUCAAACGAAGAGGCAAACCUUUCUAUCCCACUUGACUUGAAACAGACUGUCAAUAUACACUCUGAUAGAAUUUUAUACUCAAGGUCAAGAGUCAAGAUAACAAGCACUAGGGCUCAAGGCCAGUUAUUGCUUUGUACUGCAAUGAAUAAUCAAUAAAGGGGGCAGUGCAACUUAUACAGAAAUUAGAAAAUUGUGGGCACUGUUAACUUAAGAUGAGUCCCAUUACAUGUUCUACUAACAUGCAUUAUGCUACACUAUGCAGAGAGUAGAUACAGGAAGGAACAUCAAAACACCUAUAGAAUAUUGAACAUCUCUGCAUGGUAAUAUAUGACUAAGCUCUAAGUACCAUGUUCUCCCUGCUUUUCUCUUGUUUCACCCAUUUUAAGAUAUAAAAUGCAGAUAAAGGAAUUUUUAUGUCUUUUUUGGAUAAGCAUCCAGAAGAAAUGGGAAUAAAAUAUUUGUAAAAACCCAGAUAACUUAUCAGAAUUCAGACAUGCUGAUGUACUGAUGGUCUACUUUUUCCUAAACCACAAAAUGAUUACAAAUAAAGAGCCGCCUUCAAAUUUUAGGCCAGAUAAGCCCUCUUGAUUAGUGUUUAGGCCAGAUAAGCCCUCCUAAUUAGAGUUUGUCUACCACAUUAUCAUCUAUCUUUCUCCAGAUUGGCUAGUACAUUAAUGUCAUAAAAAGUAAUCUGUUCCAUUUAUGGAUUCAUUAUUCUUCUUUGUUACUAAUUUUAAAAUUUUCUGUGUCUGAAAGCCCUAAUGAAAAAACAUGAGAAGACAUCAUGUUUCCAGAUUUCAUGUAGCACAGUGAAUAUAUUUAUAUCUUCCACACAGACUUGCGAUUAUAUGUUUCACUCUGAGUAGUAGAUGGUGGUGCUAUUGACCGCUAUAGCAGAAUUGUGACAUGGAUUACAUUCUCUCCACUAUGAUUCACAUGGAGGGGGCAUCACAGUCGCAUUUGCGGCCAGAGUCGCAGCCCAUAGCAGCCUGUAGCCGCUGAUGGCUGUGACAGUGAAGAGGUGUUAGGGUCAUUCUUUCCUGAUGACGGCAGUCUUCUUUUCUGAUACAAUCAGGGUUUUAACAUUUCACAUUUCUGUUUCCCUUGCCUUUUUUACAACUUUACUCUCACAUAUCAAUAUUAGAUUUUAACCCUUUAACUCAGUAAAUCUCUAUUUUGCUCUCUUCUAUCUUUUUAAAUGUCCUACCCUCAUUUAAACUUGAUAAAACUCUAUUUUACCCUUACUAUCACUCUUCCCCAAGACCAGCUUUUUCACUCUAUCUUCUUCUACUUCCUCUGUUUUCUCUCACUUCUUUUGCUUCAUUCUUCUACUUCCUCCUCGCCAAAACCCAUUGCAGAGACCAACUCUGUUCUGGGUCCUUCUUCAUCACACCAGGGCUAGUCAAAGUCUCCAAGACACUGCGUUCUUCUUCUACAAUGAGUGGCAUUUAGGUCAUAAUUGCCACCCCAAACGUCUCAAUAGUGACCAUCCCGCUAGUGUCGGCUGCUCCGCUCCACUAUUAAUGAUUGACUACUUAGAUUUCAUUCUAUUUAACACUAGGCUUCCCACUUAUCUCAUAUCAGAUGGUAAAUAGUACAAGAAUGAAGUGAAUAACAAAUAUCCACAACAACCAAGUCUUAAUCCUACUAAAUGAGGUCGGCUUUAUGAAUUGAACGACGUUAUAAUGCUCUAUCAUAAGUAUUCCAACCCAAGUAAGAACAUGGUUAAAACCAUUGAAAGUUACCUGAAGUAGAAUUUAUUACAAGUCCAGCACCUCCUUCAGAAAUUGGGUACUUUUGGCAUCGUUUCCUUUGAUCACUCUCCAAUGGGCUUCCACCCUCUGAUACAUAUGAUGAUUCAUUUUUGCUCUCCGAUCCAUCAUUCCUGCGGAUACCAUCAGAAAACCAAGUUACAGGAGCAUCUUCACCAGCUACACGGGCUGGAUGAUCCCACCGGAAACUCCAUGACGGAGAACAGCGAAUGUUCCGAUGUAAGACAUCAUAGGUAGAUCCACUUUGUACAGUUUUCAAUUAUCUUUUGGGAGCUCCAAGAAGACUUCUCAGUUAAAAGUUUUGAGCAAACACCACAUGUUUGGAAAUCAACCGGAGAUGUUGAAAACCGAUUACUUGAUCUAUGUAACCUUUCAGGGUUAAAACCAAAUGAUUCACUAUCAAACGACCAUCUUUCUCUACGAGAAGUUCCCAUCAGCUCAGAAAAGCCAGGCACAGACCAACCAUCUGAAGAUCCAUCACGGGAGUGCAUACCCAAUUCAUUGUUCCAUGAGGGAAAUACUGGCUUUUCUUCAGACACGUAGAAGCUGCUUGGUGACUUGCAUCCUGGGACUCGGCUGUUAGAAACUUGCCAUAAUAGUUGGUGUCCUGGGGACUGGUAGGGCGACCUUGAUGGGGUUGAGCUGGAGGGUGCAAGAUGACUUUGCGAUGGCAGAGGAGACGCCGACAGCGAAGUAGAAGGUAAUGAUGAUGGCGGCUUUGUCGGAGAUGUACCUGACACUGUUGAUGAUUCUUCCAACCCCUUCACCUAUAAAGUGAUUCAUAAAUAGGAAGUUUGUCAAAUAAACCACACAUAAAGAACAAGCAAAAACAUAAAACAUUAACAGAUUCCUUCACUGCUAUAACCUCACCUGUUCCACGUUCACAUCCAUGGAGACAUUCGUAGAAAUAGAUUGAUCUGAAACAAACAUGUCAGAUACUAUAAAUCAAGCAGUUGAGUCAAUAAUAAUUACCACUGGAUCAAUAACAUGAGCAGUUUACAUAUUGUUAACAGCAGGAUCAAUGUCAUGCAUGGACACACAGGAUGCAUAUAUGCAGAAACAAAUCAUAUGAACUUCACAAUAUAUAGUCAUUGCUUAGCCCUCAUGCAAGGAAAACAUAAGUUGCAAAUGUCAACAAAAAAUAAUUUUCAUCCAGGGAUUUCCAUUGUUAAUCGAUCUGUAAUGUCACUAUAAAAUCUUGCAAACUUCUAGUUAACCCAAAAAAAAAAAUUCAGACCAUCAUCAUCCAUGAUUUUUUUUAUAAGGGAAACUUCCAUGACCAUAGCUUACAAUAUUUUCUUUUUCAUUUACAUAACCACAUACUGGACUGUGAUGAACCAUUCCUCACUAAAAAAUACAACCAUCUCUAUAUCAAAUUAUCAAAUGCCAACAGUGAGGAAAAAGUUUCAAUAAUCUAUUCAAACGAAGAGGCAAACCUUUCUAUCCCACUUGACUUGAAACAGACUGUCAAUAUACACUCUGAUAGAAUUUUAUACUCAAGGUCAAGAGUCAAGAUAACAAGCACUAGGGCUCAAGGCCAGUUAUUGCUUUGUACUGCAAUGAAUAAUCAAUAAAGGGGGCAGUGCAACUUAUACAGAAAUUAGAAAAUUGUGGGCACUGUUAACUUAAGAUGAGUCCCAUUACAUGUUCUACUAACAUGCAUUAUGCUACACUAUGCAGAGAGUAGAUACAGGAAGGAACAUCAAAACACCUAUAGAAUAUUGAACAUCUCUGCAUGGUAAUAUAUGACUAAGCUCUAAGUACCAUGUUCUCCCUGCUUUUCUCUUGUUUCACCCAUUUUAAGAUAUAAAAUGCAGAUAAAGGAAUUUUUAUGUCUUUUUUGGAUAAGCAUCCAGAAGAAAUGGGAAUAAAAUAUUUGUAAAAACCCAGAUAACUUAUCAGAAUUCAGACAUGCUGAUGUACUGAUGGUCUACUUUUUCCUAAACCACAAAAUGAUUACAAAUAAAGAGCCGCCUUCAAAUUUUAGGCCAGAUAAGCCCUCUUGAUUAGUGUUUAGGCCAGAUAAGCCCUCCUAAUUAGAGUUUGUCUACCACAUUAUCAUCUAUCUUUCUCCAGAUUGGCUAGUACAUUAAUGUCAUAAAAAGUAAUCUGUUCCAUUUAUGGAUUCAUUAUUCUUCUUUGUUACUAAUUUUAAAAUUUUCUGUGUCUGAAAGCCCUAAUGAAAAAACAUGAGAAGACAUCAUGUUUCCAGAUUUCAUGUAGCACAGUGAAUAUAUUUAUAUCUUCCACACAGACUUGCGAUUAUAUGUUUCACUCUGAGUAGUAGAUGGUGGUGCUAUUGACCGCUAUAGCAGAAUUGUGACAUGGAUUACAUUCUCUCCACUAUGAUUCACAUGGAGGGGGCAUCACAGUCGCAUUUGCGGCCAGAGUCGCAGCCCAUAGCAGCCUGUAGCCGCUGAUGGCUGUGACAGUGAAGAGGUGUUAGGGUCAUUCUUUCCUGAUGACGGCAGUCUUCUUUUCUGAUACAAUCAGGGUUUUAACAUUUCACAUUUCUGUUUCCCUUGCCUUUUUUACAACUUUACUCUCACAUAUCAAUAUUAGAUUUUAACCCUUUAACUCAGUAAAUCUCUAUUUUGCUCUCUUCUAUCUUUUUAAAUGUCCUACCCUCAUUUAAACUUGAUAAAACUCUAUUUUACCCUUACUAUCACUCUUCCCCAAGACCAGCUUUUUCACUCUAUCUUCUUCUACUUCCUCUGUUUUCUCUCACUUCUUUUGCUUCAUUCUUCUACUUCCUCCUCGCCAAAACCCAUUGCAGAGACCAACUCUGUUCUGGGUCCUUCUUCAUCACACCAGGGCUAGUCAAAGUCUCCAAGACACUGCGUUCUUCUUCUACAAUGAGUGGCAUUUAGGUCAUAAUUGCCACCCCAAACGUCUCAAUAGUGACCAUCCCGCUAGUGUCGGCUGCUCCGCUCCACUAUUAAUGAUUGACUACUUAGAUUUCAUUCUAUUUAACACUAGGCUUCCCACUUAUCUCAUAUCAGAUGGUAAAUAGUACAAGAAUGAAGUGAAUAACAAAUAUCCACAACAACCAAGUCUUAAUCCUACUAAAUGAGGUCGGCUUUAUGAAUUGAACGACGUUAUAAUGCUCUAUCAUAAGUAUUCCAACCCAAGUAAGAACAUGGUUAAAACCAUUGAAAGUUACCUGAAGUAGAAUUUAUUACAAGUCCAGCACCUCCUUCAGAAAUUGGGUACUUUUGGCAUCGUUUCCUUUGAUCACUCUCCAAUGGGCUUCCACCCUCUGAUACAUAUGAUGAUUCAUUUUUGCUCUCCGAUCCAUCAUUCCUGCGGAUACCAUCAGAAAACCAAGUUACAGGAGCAUCUUCACCAGCUACACGGGCUGGAUGAUCCCACCGGAAACUCCAUGACGGAGAACAGCGAAUGUUCCGAUGUAAGACAUCAUAGGUAGAUCCACUUUGUACAGUUUUAUCUUUGGCUGCAACACAACAAGCAGCACCCAUUCCGAGAUAGACAACAGUAUUUAGCUUUUUAUAGUAACGCAACCGGUAAUAGCAUCCCCAAACACAAGUCUACAGCAUUCACUGUUAAACACAGCUCUAUCCCUGUAACAGUAAUGAAAAAGGUAUAGCAUCAAUUGCAAUAAUCAAUAAUCCGGCAGUCAAAUGCAUGAGCAGAAAAAAGAACAAGAGUAGUUAUAAUCAUUACUCAACCAGGGUACGUGGAGCGCCAAUAUACACAGCCUUACCCCACAAGUGCAGAAGCUGUCUACAUACCUAAACUUGCUACCUCCAGGUCAUAUCAAGGCAGCAAUGUUAACACUGUGCCGAGCCUCACACAACAUAAAAACUAAACAGGAAAAAAUUUGAGAAACAAACUGGUACAGAAACAUAGUUCAUCUAAAUCCACAAUUUUGAAUUCCAAAAAGGGAUAGUCUUCAGUUUAUAGGGUUGAAAAAUUGUAGAAACUCAACCCAAAAUUUUCACCACAGUUGUAAGGAUAUACUAAAUAAACUAAAUCUAAUUUGGGAAACAACUGCAAACACAAUCAAAUCAAAAUCAGAUAGAAAUCAUCAGUGAAAUUAACACCACGCAGAACAGUUAAGCAUAGAAGAAGAAGCUGCAGAAAGCAUAACAAAUAGUGUAUAUGAAAGAUUGGGGUUACCAACCUCAGAUAAAACUAAAGAAAACAAAACAUCACGAACCUAAUAAAUGGAAUAAAAGGAGCAAAACAAUUAUUUAAAAUAAAAAUUUAAAUUAUGGAUAUGAUCCAAUCUAGGAAAUCGAAGAACCUCAAUACAGAAAAACAAAGAAACAAAAACUCAUAACUCAUAUUCGAUCAUAGAGUCAGAAUGAUCCGGAAUUAAUGCUGAAUAAACGGAAAUCAAAGUCAAAAACCACAAAUCAAAUUCUCCGUAUAAAUAAUAACAAAAAAUAAAACAAUUUCAUUUUAUAAUAUCUCAAUUUAAUAACAAUAAAUCUUCCAAUACUCAAACGCAGAAAAUAACCGAACCGUAAAUAAUAGAAGCCGUACCUGUCCUGAAAGGAAGGGUCCACAGUUCCUUCAACUGGGAACGUUAGAGAGAGAAAGCGUAGAGAGAGAAAUUUUAGAGAGAGAAACUGUAGACAGAGAAAGUGGGUGAGAGUGAUGCUAAGGUUGAGAGAGAAGAGAAGAGGAAGAAGAAAACGGGACGGGGCCGUUUAAUUUGACGCCGUUAGGUCCUAUCUUCGGUGCGGUUCCUCUGUUUUUAGAUUUCCCGUCGAAUGUUACGGCGUUAGUUGUUGGUGCCUGGUUUCUGGAAAUUAUAUAUGCCGACAUGUGAUUUUUUUUUUAUUUAAAAAAUAUAGAUAGUGAAUUAGUUUGUUUAGAGAUGCAUUAUUUAUGUAUUGCACUUUUAUUUAAGAAAAAGAAAAAAUAUAAUUAACACGUGAUUUAUUUAUACUAACGUGUCAUCAGUCACUCUGUAUCUGCUGAUCCGCAUUUUUACUUUUUAAUAUUAAAUAUUUAAUUUGUAUAUAUUUCAUUUUAGGAAUUAUAUCACUUUUUUGUACAUGGUAUUAUAAUUUUUUGAUAAAAAUAUAAAAAUAUUUUUCUUCUAACCUUCAUAUAUAUUUUUUAUUGUAUGGAAAAAUAUUGUAAUAAUUAUUAAUUUUAAAGGCAAAAUAGGUAAGUGAAAAUUAUGUCAUAUAUGUAGUUAUUAUAUGUUUUGGUUUUAUAUAUAGUAUAGAUAUAAUGCUCCAGCACUUAAAUUCCAACUUGUACUUUUUAUUUAGUACUAGCGACUUACCCGUACAUUUGCAUGAGUACUAUUUUUUGCCGCAUGACAAAGAACAUACAUAUUACAUGUGGAUUGUCUCUCUAAGUAUAAGAAAAAAUUAAAAUUUUCUUAUUUUGAAAUUGAUAUAUCCUUCAAAAUUCAAUGUUCCUCAUUGUUCAACUUGACAAAGUUUAAAUAUAUACACUAUCAUAGUGUUGUUGAAGAACUUAAGUUUAUGAUAUGGAAAAACAAAAAUUGUAAAUGAGUUUAAAAAUUGAUGAGUUAAUAUGUUGAAUGUUUGGUCCUCGUUAAUAUUACACAUAUCAAUAGAAUUAGAAUCGUUGUGUUCUUUUUCAUCACCUAAUAUUAUUAAGUUUAAAAAUAUUGCAUCAACAACUUAAUAAUUGAUUGAGUUAGAUUACAAAUAUUUUUACUUGGAAUUAAACUCAAAACAUACUCAUUUAUUUGAUGAAUAAUGAAUACUUUCAAUAGUUUAUUCAAGUAUUAUUAUUGUUUAUAAAAACUUUUCAUUUUUUAGUGAUAUUUAGAUUUGGAUAAGUACUUUGAACUAUGACAUCUAUUGGCUUAUCAAAAUUAACACAUGUAUAUGUAUUAGAAAGGGAAUGAAGUAGUUAUGAAAAUUGUAAAGAAAAAAUAGAUAAUAUAACUCUAAAUAAUACAACCCAAUGUUAUUAUAUGUUGUGUUAAAGCGAUUAUGUACAAUUACUAAUGAAUUAUUAUGAUAUUUUAAAAUUAUAACUUUGUCUUGAUUAUAUAUUUUCACCCAUACAAUUUUUACACAAGAAUAUUUUAAUGAUCUACAAUGAAUGAUAGAUGACACAUAAAAAUGACAUAAAUUGAGAACAUUUUAAAAUCUAUUCAAAUACGUAAUUACUACAUAUUCCAAUUUACUAUAUUUAAAAUUCAUAGCAACUUUAAUACAUAACUUUAAAGUAGAAACUAAAUCAUCAUAAUUAAUGUCAAUAAUUCCUUAAUUUUAGGAAAAGAAGCAUUUGAGAACUAUCAAGUUUUCUUUUUAAUUAGUAUUAAAAAUGAUUAACUUUAUGAAAUAAAUUAAAUAUCAUCAAAUUUCCUCACUAAUUGUAAUAUCACAGUUCAUUCUAUUAAUAAUACGAUUGUAACUUCAUAUUAAUGCACUUUAAUGAUAUUAAAUGAGAAUAUUUUAAGAUCUAUUUAAAUAAUUAAUAUUAAACAUUGUUAUUUUUAUGAAAUAAAUUCACUAUGUAUCAUUUUUUAGUCAGACAGAAUAAUAACAAAUUUCCUUAUUAAUUAUAAUAUAAUAACUCAUUCUUUCUAUUAAUAAUAAUAUUAGAUUUCUGCUAUUUAAGUUUUAAAAAAUGAUUAAAUAAUAGUAAUUGAGAAUGUUUUAAGAUCUAUUUAAAUGCAUAAUUACGACAUAUUUCAUUUACUAUUUUUAAAAUAUUUUUUCAAAAUUUCAUAACAACUUUAAAAUAUAAUUUUUAAAUAAAAACAAAAUUAUCAUUUUUUAUCGGCAAGGUUAGGAUGUUACUAUUUUUUGUGGGCGAUACUCGAACUCUCAAUCUCCUUCACUCCAACCCCAACCUUCAACUACCUUAUAACUCAUUUGUAUUUUUAUUAAAUUUGCUACAGGUGGGGCUUGAAUCCACAACAUCCUUCGUUACAUUUCUUAAAUUUUUUCACCUUAAUCAUUAUGACUCACGAUCAUCGUUAUAUAUUUGUUAAUAUUUAUUAAUUACAUUAUAUAUUCUAUAAUUGUUACGAAAAUUCCUUAUAUAUUUCAUAAUUGUUCUGAUAAUUUAUUGUUAUAGUUUUUAAUCUUCUUAAUCUACUAUCAUUAAUAUAUUUUUUAUGUUAUAUUUUAUAUUGUUACUAUUAUAAUAUAGCAAUUGUAAAAUAUAAUUAUAAAUUUCUUAAUUACACUAAAUAUUUCAUAAUUGUUACGAAGAUUCCUUAUAUAUUUCAUAAUUUAGUUGUUCUUUCUGAUAUGUUUUGAUUUAUGUUGUUAAUUGGUUCUUUUGAUUUUGUACCUAAUCCCCAAAUUUAUAUUCUAUUUUUGUAACUGAUAAAAAAUUUCCAACUAUUCUAUUUCUUCAUGAAUUUCGAAUCAUAUGUUAUAAUUCUACCAAUUUAUAUCCAAAAUGAGAAUUGCUUAAAAUAUGGAAAUCAUAAAUAAUUUAAACAAAAUAUAUUUUCUAUUGUUACUAUAUUAUAAUAUUGCAAUCGUAAAAUAUAAUUAUAAAUUCUUUAUAUACUUCGUAAUUACGCUAUUUAUUUCAUAUUUGUUACGGAGAUUCCUUAUAUAUUCCUUAAUUUAGUUGUUCUUUUUGAUAGGUCUUGAUUUAUAUUUUUAAUUGAUUCUUUCUAUUUUGUAACUGAUCACAAAUUUAUAUAUUAUUACUGUAUCUGAUACAGAAAAUUCCAACUAUUAUAUUUUUUCAUGAGUUUUGAAUCAUAUGAUAUAAUUCUACCAAUUUAUAUCCAUAAUGAACAUUGCUUUAAAUUUAGAAAUCAUAAAUAAUUUAAACAAAAUAUAAAUCAAAUCAAUUGGUUAUCACAGUCAAAAUUCAUUAGUUAUAUUUCUGUAAAUUUAUCUACAUAAUAAGGAAUGCCUAAAAUUUGGAAACCAUAAAUAAUUUAAAUAAAAUAUAAAUCAAAUAAAAAUAAAGACAUUAUUCUUCUCCAUAUAUGGGAAAGCCAAAAAGUCCACAAGCAAAGAACGAAGAUAUUAUAUUGCAUUAUUGACAACCCAAAUAAUACAAAUUUUUAAGAAAACAAUAAAAUAAGGUAAUGAUAUUUAAAUAAAAUUUUCAAAAGCACAAAUAUUGAGACAAAAUGAGUGUGUUAAAAAAUAUAUAUAUUAAAAAUCAUUGAACAGAGAAAAUAAAAUACAAAAUCUACAGGUGAGUGAACAACUAAUUAUGAAACAAAAAAGAAGGUAUCAAUAACUAACUAUGAUUCUUACCUUAUUUCAGAUACAAUCUAGAUGUUUCUGAAACAUGCAAAACAAAAAUUAAAAUGGUGAUUUUUUGAAUAAAAAAAUGUAUAAGUAAAAUAGGAGAAUGCAUUAUUAUUUUUUUAUUAACUAGAUAAUAAAAAAAAAUUCAUCUCACAUUAUCUAUCGUCACAUGUUAAUUUCUUAUUCAUUUUUCUUCUCCAAAAUAGUUCUACCUCCUUCAUAUGUUCAUUCACACACUAUAUAUUUAUUUUCCUUAUUGUAAUAAUAUAAUAAUAUUAAAUCCGUUAUUGUAUUUCUUAAUAAUUUCAAAACAAAAAAUAUGUCAUUGAAUAUUAAUCUAUGAUGACUAUACUAUAUAUUUCAUUUCCUUAUUAUAAUAAUAUAAAAAUAUUAAAUCUAUUAUUGCAUUUUUUAAUAAUACCAAAACAAAAAACAUGCAUUACUAUAAGAAUUGCUGUAAUUUUCACCAUAUUAAAGGUACUUUUCAGACUGAAUUUUAAUAUCACAGUUCAGAUUACUUGAAUUUUAAUAUCACAGUUCAGAUUACUUUAAUUUUAAUUUUUCCUUAUUAUAAUUGAAAAAAUCAAAUUCGAAAUUGAAGUUUUUUUUAUAACUUUUAGAGAGAAAAUUAAGGCGCAAAAAUAUUUUAAGGGAAAACCAAAUUACAAAGAAAGAAAAAAUGAUUAAAAUAAGAUAAGAUGAGGAGAUAAAUAUAUUAAUAACAAAAAUAACUUGAGGAAGAUACCCUUACUUAUCAGACGUUAAGAAAGAGAAAUGUUGGAAGAACAAAUCUACAAAAUAAUGAAAUCAGUGAGAACACAUCUACAAAAUAAGGAAAUCAAUGAAAAAAUAACCAAAAAAAUCAAUGAUAAAAAUAAAAACAAAUCUACAAAAUAAAAACAUAUCUACAAAAUAAACAAAAAGAUAAAUGGUAAAUAUAUUAUUAACAUCAGAUUUACAAAAUAAGAAUAGAUAUGCAAAACAAAUAAAAGAAUGCACUUUAAAGAAAAUGAUUGGAAGAGAAAGAAAAAAGGACGAUAAUGAAGAAACAUAAUGAAAUGAAACCAAAGAAAAAGAAGAUUGGUGGGAGAGUAAGAUUGUUGGAAGAGAAAGAGAAAGUCAUGUACCUCAAUAACAAUUCAAAUACAAUUUAAAGUGUAAUCAUAUAAAAUACAAUAAUUGUUUAUUAAAUUAUUAUUAUAAUUAAGAAAGAGAAAGUACAGUGUGAAAAAGUAUAUAUAUGAUAACCAUGAAACCAUUUAGGAGGGAUGAAAGAGAAAGUGACAUGUGACAAAUAAUAAGGUGGUAGAAGUUUUUUUUUUAUAUAUAGGCAAUAUAUUAUUAUUAUUAAUUGUUAAGUGUGUUUGGAUGACUUGGUAGGAAGGUUAAUGAAGAGAAAAAAAUGUAUGAAUUCAUAUUUUAUAAACCAUAACUAUAUCAUUCAUAUUUUAUUGUUAUUGGUUAUACAAAAAAAUAUAAAUAUUUACACUAAAUUUAUAAAAUGUAAUGAAUUGGGAUAUAAGUGAAGCUGAUAUAAAUUAGCUAUUUUUUGAAAUAUACCUUUUAUAUUUAUAUAUAUAAAAUAAUAUAUAUAUAGAUAUAUUAUAUUAAAAUUAGUUUUUUUUUAUUCAACCAAAAAGUAAUUGAUUUUAUUAAAAGUGGUUUAAAAGUCAUCUUUUUCAUAACAUAUAUAGAUCAUAUGAGUUGAUGAGUUAUAUAAGAUUGAACUUGCUAUUCGUUCGAAGUUUUAUAAAUUCUAAUCAAGUUGAGUGUGAAUUAAUUUUUUUUUACAUUAACCUUGAUUUGAAACUCAACUCAAACUAAUCCUAAUUAAAUAGAGUCAAACUCAUUUGGACUCAUUUUCAUUACAAGAUAUAAAAGUGAAUAAAAUAAUCUUUUUAUUUUUAUUCAUAAAACUUUAAAUGUUUUGACAAAAUAAGUAAGGUAAGAGUUGCUUUUUUAAAGUAAAGAUUUAUAAUAAAAUAUAAAAUAUCAAUAAGUGAUUGGUUCGAUGUCUAUUUUCUCUCAAACAAAAUCGAGCUGGAGUCUUCUGUAUAAAGGAACAUAUGUUAAAAAAGCUAUACUAUAGUAGUUUCUAUUUUAAAUAUAAUUGUCUUCAUAUGAGGAUACUUUGUGGUCUAAGGAGAGCUCAAAUUAAGAAAAAUUUAGGAGGUUUGAAUCAAACAUUUAUAGUCCAUGUUCUAUGCUUAACUAACUGACAACAAAUUAAAUAACAUACAUAUAUGAAUUGAGCUAAUUUUAUUUAAUUAUACACUACUUUCUUCAUCAGACUUCAUGUUUCGAUAUGCUUUUAUCUUUAAAAAUAAUAUUUGUAAAAAUGAAGAUAAUAAAUUUUGAUUUGCCAACAAAUCUAUAAAACUCAAUCGAUGAAAAUAAAAUCUCUUUUUCUGGGGAUAAAACUACAUAAUAUAUCAUCUUAAAGUCCAUUAAGUAGGAGCACCUUAAAAUAUAGGAAUAACACUUAUUAAAAUUAGAUUGGUCACAAUAUCAUGUAAUAGAUUAAUUUGUCAUCUAAAACGCGAAAAAUACACCCUCAAUGACCUAAAAACUCAUUUAAAAUUUCAAUAUGUAUCAAUUAAACUCUAAUUAAUUGAUAUUACAUUUUUCAAUUUUUAUUCAAGGAACUAAGUUAAAUGAUUAUUUUUGUAGAAAAAUUACAUCUAAAGAAUUUAAAUUUAGGAUAUUUGAAAUAGUAUUAAUUUAGAUUAUACAGAACUAAAUGUUUUACUAUUUAUUAAUAGUGAUAAAAUUUCAUAUUAGUAAUGAUUUAAAGUUUUACUUUAUAGACACACAAAAAAAACAAUGUUAAAAUUAAAGAACUUUAGUGGGUAUGUCACUAUGUGGGAUGAGGUAUAAAGAGAAGAUGCUAGAAGCAUGAGAUGUGACUUGUGCUCUACUCGGAGUAGGAGUUAAGCAAUUUCCAUUCCAUCCUUGGCUCCUUGCCUCUGGUUAUACUACAAUAUAAUAAAAAACCUAACAAUUCUAUAAGAUAUAAUAAAUUACGACUUUUUAAAAGGAUUAAUUAUUAUUUUAAAAAAUGUAAUAUAUAUGUACCGUCAGUGUAAACAGUUUAUUCACCAUUCAUUUGUAUUAUUUUUUGUAAAAAAUCAAUAAUGACUAAAUACAAAUAGUAAAUAAUGCCAAUGUAUAAAUCUCUUAAUAAACAAAAAGCAUCAAUGGUUUAAGAAUAUGACUCCUCUCAAGUACAUACUUAAGACUAGGAUACAUAAUAAAAAUAAAAAAUAUCCAAAAUUUUAUUUUUUAAAUUAAAUAUUUAAAAAAAAUUCAACCUUAUAUUCUCGAAUAAUGGAGAGAAAUCCAUUUCAUUAUUUAAUGGAUGGUAUAAGAUUAUCUAUUCCACUUUUUGUAUCUCAUUUGUAUAUUAAUCUAAUUAACAAGUGACACUCAUGUAAAAAGAAAAUAAAUUUUUUAUACUACUUAAUAUAAUAUGAUUAAUUUGGGAUAUGAAAAUAUAAAUUUUUGUGAAUUGCAAUCCAUAUCCCCUGUAUAUAUAUACACACUUUUAAAAAAUCCAACGUACAAUAUCACCAAUAUAAUUAGGUACAAAUUAUAGGAGCAAACACUAAGACUUAGGAUCUAGGUUAAGACCCAUAACCAAAUUAAAAUGUGAAGAUGAAAGACAACUCAUAUUUAUAUUAUGAUAAGAAAAUUUUGAAGUUUUCAAUCCAAAAUGGUACGAUGUUGAAGCAAUUUAUGCGGGACAAGGAUUUAUUGUCUAUAUCUCUAAGUCUGUUUGAACCAAUCAAAAUAUGACACAUAAAUUAAAAAGAUUAAAAAUUUAUAAUUAAUUCUAUUUUUACUUCAUUUUAAUUGAUUCAAAAUAGACUUAGAGAUAUGCUUAAGGAUAUGAGAUCCUUAUCUAUUUAUACAAGUACCAAUACAAGGAUGAGACUCAGCUGUCUCAUAAUCUAUUAUGUUAUUUGUCUCAUCCAUUUACAUAUUGACAUGUGGAAAAUAAUUUAAAACUUUUUUGCACCACCUUAUUAUAUUCUCUUCAUUAAAUUUAAGCCCUUACACUUUCUCACUAAUUACAAAAAUCACUAUACUCGAUACUUUCGUUUCUCUUUCUCCUUCCUCUUUCUUUCUCUUUACAUUUUAUCUCAAAUCCCAUUCCCCUUGUUUCUAGAGUUUUACUAAUUACAAUUUCUUUAAUUCUUUUGCUUAUGCGAUUUGAGUUUUUUUGUUGGAUGUAAAAUGCAAUAACUAAGUUUUUAUUUAUUAAAGAUUUAGUGUUUUGAUUGAAAGGAAGGUAUUUUUUAUGAGGUUGUUACUUUAAUUUGUGAUAAAAAUGAGAGCUUACCGUAUAUUUUGAAGAAUGUGAAGGAAAUGAGAGAGGAUGGUAAUUUAAAGAAUUGUUAUAUCACCAUUGUUGUUCUCCAAAAAGAAGCUCAGAGAAAAAGAAACGAGAAAGAGAAAUGAAAGUAUGGAAUGUAGUAAUUCUAUAAUUAGUAAGAAAGUGGAAGAGCAUAACUUUAAUGAAAAGAGUAUAAUAACUUGCUUUAAAAAAUUAAAUUAUUUUUCACGAGUCAAUAUGUUAAUGAACGAGGCAGGAAAAAUAUAGGAUAAUGGGACGACUGAUUCCGAUCUCCAAUACAAAUGUGUCAUAUAUGGAUUGGUCACAUUCUUUGAAGUAUCUAUAUAAGUACUAAAAUAUUUUGUUCCAAAAAACAUAUGUCCCCCUAUUCCUAGCCAAUAAUAUAAAAUUGUUAGUUUUUAUUUUUAUGAAUUUUUAUUUAAUGUAAGUGUUAUUUUUCAACAAUCUGGAAUAGUAAAUGAGUAUAGAAUUGGAGACAACUGAUCUAUCUCCUCCCUCCAAUAUAAGGUAGGAUAUAUGUCAUCUAAGAUACAUGUUCAAAUCAAUUCAAAAGUAAAACUACAUAGCAAACCUAUUAAGUAUUAACUAAUAAUAGCAUGGAACCUUAUUGUUACUUAGUGUCUGUUUGCAAGUUGAUUUUAGGAGGGGAAAAAAUAGAAAGAAAAGACUUAAGAGUUAUCUUGUAAGUAUAUUUCAUAGCUCCAAAGCUUUUCCAUUCCCUCCAUUGUCAUCCAAAAACUAACUUGCAAACAAACUCUUAGUCUUCCUUUGGUGUGCAAGAAUUAGAGAGGAAAGGAGUUGUGAAGAGAGAAAUAAGAGAGUUUGUACUUUUCUCCCCUUUGGUUGACAUGUGAAAUAGGGAAGAGGAAAUAAAAAUUUGUGGGACUCAUGCCCAAAAUCACUCUCUCCAUAAAUGCAAAGAAAGUAUAAGGGAGAGGAGAAAUGGUGAACAAUGGCAAAAAUACCCCACUUAUCUUAUUUUCUUAUACAAACUACUACCCACUAUAUUAAUUGAUUUAAUUUAAAAAAUUGUGACAAUUGCAUUAUAGUAAACAAGUUUUAAUAUCUAAUAUUACAAUAUUUAAUUUUUUUUACUAUGUUGAGAAGGUAUUUUAUUAUUUAUUUAUGUUAUAAUCUAAAUUAUUCAAUUAGAAUACAACACUUCUUUAUACUCUCUUUGUUGUAUGAAUAUUUUUGUCAUUUAAAUAUUUAUUUUUAUCUCUCUCUUUUCUCUUUCUCUUGUCUUUCUCUCAUACCAAACAAUAUAAAAAUCUACUAUAAUUCUUCUUUAUCUCUUUCUCCCCUCACUCUUUCUCACCAAUCUCUCUUCUCUCAUUUUCUCUCCCUCAACCAAACAAAGCCUUAAGCUUUGUUUGAGAGUGAAGUUUUAGAGGGGAAGGGAAGAGAUAACUUUGGAAAACCUUCCCCUUCUUUGAGAGUUGAGUGAAGGAGAUAAGAAAGUUUUGGAGGUUUCUCAAACACUUCAUGUGUCUAUUUCAUGGCAUAAAUUGUUUAACGUGUAUUUUACAAUUGAAAUCCUUGCUCCAUGCUUAAGUGCAAUCAUUUCAACCUAGACUUUAUACGUAAUCACUAUCAUUAUCAUAUGCAUUUUAGCUUAGCAUGUAGCCAAAUAGGAUUGGUGAACUUAUGGUGAUGAACCAUUAGCUUUGAGUAGGGAUACUCUCAUCACUAGAGAGAGAAUUGAUCUUUUUACACUUAGUUUUGGAAUAAAAAUGUCAUUACAAGUAUAAACAAAAAGAUAUAAUUGUCUUUUAACAUACUUUUUGUUUUAUUUUAUACCGCACUUCCAUCUCUAGUAAUAAAAAGGAGUCGACUCAUUAACUUUCCAUGAUAAAAAAUAAUAGCAGUCACCCAAGUCAUUUCUAGGACACAAAAGUCUCAACAGUGAAUAGAGGGUUAGGUUAGCAAAAAAUGAAUAUUAGUAGAAAAACAGCUAAACUAAUUUAUGGAAAGAUCAUGUUGAUCUUUCAUAGGGAAUUAAUCAUGGUAUCUUUCUUAUUUAUGGAUCUAACUUCCAUCAACUUCACUAAGUGAGAGCAUUAUGCACUGGAUAACCAUUUAUCUUUCUUAUCUUCAAUAGCUUUUACUAUGUUUUCUCCUUGGUUUAGGUUCUUCAACUCUUCUUGAAUUUGAAUUAGAGACACAGCUCCUACACAAGUAUUUCAGUUCAAUUAGAAUCUUCUACAAUCUGAGAAGUGCGCAUAUAUUUUCAACUUGAUAGAGUACCCAAAUAUUUAAGAAUAAAUAGUCAAUUACCUGAGGCUGCAGUCACUUGUGACUUUGUCGGGUGUCCUCUGUCUAUUACCCACUCCACUAAAAACGGAACAAGUGGUAAACAAACUUAUUAUAAUAGUAAAAUGAGAAAAUAUAUAGUUUAUGCACGUAUGAUUUUUUUACAAUAUUAAUAUUAUCUGAUAUUCAAAUGUUAACCAUCAUUCACUCUUCACUUUUUAAAUAAAAUGUAAAUUAUACUUAGUAUAAAAAACCUUACAUUCACGGGGUAGAGAUAUUAAAAUAUGUUAUAAUUGUUUUAUCAUCCUUCUUAUAUAUAUAUAUAUGAACCUUGUUGACUUUAUCAUCAUUUUCCCUAAGGAGAACUGGUUUAAGGAAUGGGCAAAUAAGAGGAUGUUGAACCUCCUAAAGGGCACACAUGAUCUUAAAAACAUGAAAACAGGUAAGUACAUAGGUAGAAAAAACAUCUUAAUCUUGCCACAGCAUUAUGUGGUGAAUUGAAAUGGAAUCCCGAAAUGUUAAAGCAUACAAUAAAAAGAAGAUUUAAGUGAAAAGCUAUUUAAUGGCCAUUGAUUGAGUAUUGAGCAACAAAGUCGGUUGAAAAUUAGAAUUUGCUAUUUUCUAUUUCUCUCUAAAUGCAUUCCAACUAACUAAUUUUAUCGGUACCUAAAAUUACAAGCUUAGUGUAUUCACAUUUAAUUUAUUGCACGCUAGGCCACUUAAAGUACUUUUAAUCACAAGCUAUAGCUAUUAUAAAUAACACUAGGAUCAUUGGAGUAUAGCAAUUCAUUCAAGCUUUUUUCUUUUCAGCUUUUACAGUGUUGCCAUACCUUGGUGUGGCCUAGUUGUUUUCUCAAUGACAAAGGUCUCCACUUUGCAAUAUGCACUACUGCAUUUCUGGGUUCCAUUCUUGCUUGUUGUGAGUUUCUGCUAUGCUAAUUCUGCUGCAGCAACAGAAAUUUCAGGUUGGUGAUCCAUUCUAUAUUCACAUAUUGAUACAAUAUUUUACAUUUUUAUGACUUGUGUUUUUUGACCUUUUGUGCAAUUAUUAUUCAGGAAAUGAAGAAUUGGCAAAGACAAGCUUAGACUUUCAUGAUGAAGAAGCAAAAUUCAAAGGGUUUUUUCAUAUAAAACCAUUAGUCAAGAAGCCAUUUUUCAAGAAAUCCAUUCCAAUCGUUAAGCCUAUACCAAAGCCAUAUCCACUAGUGAAAAAACCUAUUCCUAUUCUAUUUAAUAAACCUAUAUCAAAGCCAUUCCCCAUUGUUAAGCCUAUACCAAAGUCAUUUGGAGUGAAAAAACCUAUCCCUAUUCCAGUUUAUAAACCAAUUCCAAUUGUUAAGUCCAUUCCAAUUGUUAAACCAAUCCCUAUUGUUAAACCAAUUCCAAAGUUCAUUCCAAUUGUUAAGCCUAUUCCUAUUGUGAAGCCUAUACCAAAACCAUUGAUAGUGAAAAAACCUAACCCUAUUCCUGUGUUUAAGAAACCAUUCCAUAAACCAUUUUCUAUUCCUAAAAAGCCUUUCUUCCCUCCACAUAUUCCCUCUGUUGAGCCAUAGUAGUUAUAUAUAAAGCCAAAGUCUCUCUUCAAAAAACCUAUCCCUUAACAGCUUAACUCUAUAACAAGAUACAACUCUUACUUCACAAUCCCUUAUGUUUCACAUGUAUGCUUAGAAUGUUUAUACACAUUUCUAAAGCCUUUAUAUCCAGUUAUAUAUAAGGUAAACUUGUAUCUCGACAUGAUUGUGUUUGCAUAAUCUAAAUUGUACCCUUAAUGUGUGUUGUAAUCGAGACAUAUAUAUGUAGUUAAUGCUUUGCAUCAAUAAAAUUCUCAGUGUUGCAAUCGUAAAUCCAGUAUAAAGAAUGUUAAUGAUUCUCAGUAUCGUUCAACUAAUAUUUUCAGUUUUUAUCCCUCUUAUUAAUACCGUACCGAUCAUCAAAUCACAAGUUAGGGUAAUAGUAUAGUGGUUCACUAAUUGAACCGCAUAUCAGUGAAAUUAGAGAUACAUAUGUAAUAUAUUUUUAAUGUUGAAAAUCAAUAAAAAAACUAUUUUUUUUAUUUUCAAUAAAAAUUAUUGUUAAAUAUAAAUAGGUCGGUAUGACCGAUAUGAUUCAAUUGAAAAUCGACUGGUAUCAUUGAUUUUGAAUGAUAUGAUUAUAUGACCGAUAUAAUUAUUGUACCGUACCGAUAUUGAAACUGGUUCACCAGUUUAUUUGUUGAACCGACAUAAACGAGUAGUUUUUAGAACAGUCUCUUUUUAUUCUCUUUUAAUGUUACUUUGAUUACGUGCAUGCAUUUAGAUAAAAAAAACUAAAACAUGGAAAUUGGUGUAUGAAAGAGUGAUUGUUUAGUUGAUUGUGAAAAGUGAUUACAAAAAGCCACUCAGUUCAUAGCACAAUCAACUUAUGUCCUUAACUAACAGAAGUAACAUAUUUAUAAAUGAAAUAAUAUUUAGAAAUAAGUUUAUUUAUAUUUUAUGUUACUAUUAUUUCGUACAAAAUUUUAAUUAGAAUUCAAUUAUUAAUUUAUUGUUAAUAUUCUAUUAGUUGUCUCUAUAUAAAUAUAUUAUCAUAUAAAUUUAUAUUGACUCUAAUCACUUAGACUAAUAAUCAGUUCUAUCAUAUUUUAUCUAAAUAGUUAUGACUAAACUGCUAGGUGGGGAUUAAUGAAGUCAAUCACUAUCCAACCAAAUCAAAUUCCCUGCCAUAAGAAAUCAGUUAAGGUAGUUAAAGAAUAUGUGUAAUCCUAGCACUCAUGAUUCCUAGUUUAUAGGGAAAUCUCAACAUUCCUACUGUAUAGAAAUCUGAUUGUUUUCAAUCAUUAUGGAUCUCUAUAUAUAUUUAUUAUACACAUAUUGAAAAAUAUGCAAAAAUCAAUUUUCCUCAUGGUAUUAGAGCAGUCUAAGCAUAACUGCAUUUUUUUUUUCUCGAUCCACUCUUGUUGUCUUGUACACAACACCAUGAAUUUAUCCACAUCUGAGACUGAAGCCACUCCAAACAACACUCCCUUUAGCAACAUUUAUAGAUUUAUUGUUCUCAAUGUUGGCUCUCAACUUUACAUCAAGCUUGAUAGAUAUAACUAUCCAGCAUGACGUCUACAAUUCAUAUCCCUUCCAACAGGAUAUGAUCACUUAGGCUACAUCAAUGGCAACAUACUUUGUCCAACCUUGAAAAAUCAUCCCUCAUCAAUCUAAUAUACACUCACUGAAUUCGUCAGGACCAACUCAUUCUACAUGGAAUUAUCUCAUAUGUGGCUGCAACUGUUGUUACCCAUCUUGGCACAGUUCAAACUGCCAAACAAGCAUGUGAGACUCUGAAAACUAUGUCUGCAAGUAGAUCUAGAGUGUGUAUCAUGGCCCUACAACAACACAUCACUACUUUCACAAAAGGCACACAACCUAUGGCUACCUAUCUUCAAGGGAUCAAAGCUAUUCCUAAUGAGCUAGCCAUCAUUGACAAUCCUCUAGACAAUACAUAUUUAGUUAUUCACACAUUAAAUGGUUUGAGUACAGACUACAAAGAAAUAUCUGCAACAUUAUGUAGCAGAAAAACUCCAAUCACCUAUGCUGAACUUCAUGAGAAGUUAAUGGAUUUUGAAACAAUUCUAUCUCGUGACAACCAACAUCAAUCCAGCCCACUGGUACCUACAGUAAAUGCAACUACAAGAUUCAGAGGGCAACAAAGGUAUAAACCUCAAUUCAAUGCUCCAACACCUUCAAUCACACACAAUUCCGAUAAACAAAUCAUCUGCCAAUUCUGUGAAAGACCAGGCCAUAGUGCAAAAAGAUGUUACAAAAUUAAUGGUUAUCCUAAGAAGCAUGGACCAAGACCAUCAGUGUACAUGGCUACUCAUCACCCACCAAUGCAAAACUCUAGUUGGAUCAUGGACACUAGAGCAUCAUACCACAUUACUCUAUAUCUACAACAAUUGACAUUGGCAAACACAUAUCCAGGAUCAGAUCAAGUUAUUGUUGGAGAUGGCUUAGGUUUGAAAAUCACCCACAUUGGCCACACUACAAUACCAACAAACACUAAAUUGUUAUCUCUUAAACAAGUCUUAUGUGUUCCAAAUAUAACAACUAACCUUGUAUCUGUCUCUAAACUAUGCCAAACUAACUAAUGCUCUGUUGAAUUCUUCUAUGACUGCUUCAUUGUCAAGGACUUGAACUCGGGCCAACCACUACUACAAGGACCUCAUAAACAGGACCUCUACCAUCUACCUUCAACCACCAACUCCACUGCUUCACCUCAUGCUCACCUCACUAGUCUUCACUCUACUUCAACAUGACAUCACAAACUCGGUCAUCCUUUAGUUAAAAUAAUCAAGCAUAUGGCAAAUCACAACCUUAUUCCAAUAAGAGCUCAUGUCACAUAUGAUUGCACCUCUUGUCAUUGUGCCAAAAGUCACAAGCUAUCAUUCUCAAGUCACCAUCUUCACAACACUAAACCUUUGGAACUCAUCUACUCUGAUGUAUGGGGCCCUGCUCCUACCAAGUCUUUAGAUGGCUUACUUUAUUAUUUAGUUCUAGUUGAUGAUUUCUCUAAAUAUGUUUGGUUAUACCCAAUGAAAAAUAAGUCAGAUGUAUUUUCCAUCUUUGUUCAGUUUAAAACUAUUGUUGAAAAGUACUUUAACUUGCCAAUUGUGACAUUAUUCUCUGAUAAUGGUGGAGAAUUUAUAAAAUUGAAACACUUCCUGGCUUCACAAGGCAUUACUCAUCUCACAAGUCCACCUCGCACACCUGAGGUCAAUGGCACAACAGAGAGAAGACACAGGCACAUAGUAGAAACAUGUCGAGCCUUGCUACACCGUGCCAACCUACAAGCUCAAUUUUGGUCCUAUGCUUUCCUCACAACUACACAUCUCAUCAACAGGAUGCCCACUGCUAAGCUAAAAAUGCAGACCCCCUUCACAGUGAUGUUCAAACAAGCACCUGAGUACAACAAACUCCAUUCCUUUGGUUGCUUACGCUUUCCAUGGUUGAGGCCUUACACACACAAUAAACUUCAAAAUAGAUCCCUACCUUGCAUUUCCUUGGCUACUCACAAAAUCAAUGUGCAUAUCUUUGUCUUGAACCUCUUUCAGACAUAUUUUACAUCUCAAGACAUGUACAAUUCAUUGAGAACUCUUUUCCUUAUGUCUCCUUAAUCACACAAACCAAUCCAAAUCACCUUGCACCUGUUACUGAAGCCAUACUUCCCUCCAUUAUUCCUCUCAAACAUACCACAUACCCACCCCUCCAACAUAGCACAACCACACACUCUUGACAUCCAAGACACUAACCAACCCACUACCACAACACCAACACCAUCUCCACCAAACCAGACCUACAUUACCAACCCACCACCUCAACUUCCCUCCAACAGAAGCCACCCUAUGACCACCAGAUCACAAAACAACAUCUUCAAGCCCAAACAAAUACUCACUACCACAAAACAUGCCCUACUAGAAAAUCUUGAACCUUCUACAAUCACUCAAGCUCUCAAGAUUCCUCACUAGAGACAAGCCCGCUCAACAGAAUUUGAUGCACUCAUGAACAAUGGUACAUGGAACCUAGUACUUAGGGAGGAAGCAAAGAACUUAGUUGACUGCAAGUGGCUGUUUAGAAUCAAAAGAAAUCCAGAUGGUACAAUUGCAAGAUACAAGGCCAGACUAUUUGGCAAAGGCUUCACGCAAACACCUGACAUUGACUUUAAAGAGACAUUCUCACCAGUGGUUAAACCUCAAACUAUUAAGGUUGUCCUCACCCUUGCUCUUCAUUACUAAUGGCCUAUGCACCAACUAGAUAUCAAUAAUGCAUUCUUACAAGGCUCUCUCACAUAAUAUGUUUACAUGCAACAACCACUCAGAUUUGUGCACAAUGAUUUCCCUCAUCAUGUUUGCAAACUCAGAAAGGCCAUUUAUGGUCUGAGACAAGCACCUCAGAUUUGGCAUGAAUCAUUCAAAGUAUUUGUUCUCUCAUAUGGAUUUCAAACUAGCCUUAGUGAUAGCUCCCUGUUCAUCUACAAUACAAAUGAAAUUAAAGCCUUCAUCUUGGUCUAUGUUGAUGAUCUUCUCUUAACAGGCAACAACAACAACUUCCUCAAAAAUUUCAUGGCAGAAUUAUCACUCAAGUUCUCACUCAAAUACCUUGGCUUUCCUCACUACUUUCGAGGAAUUGAGCUCAUUCCAACUAAGCAAUGUCUUCUACUCACUCAACAUGGCUACAUUCAUGAUUUGUUGGAAAAAUUCAAUAUGGCAGGUUCUAAGCCAACCUGCACUCCUCUUGGCACACCCACAUCCCUUAAACUAUAGGAUGGCUCUGCAGCAGCAGAUGCACAAAGUUCCAGAGCAAUUACUGGUGCACUACAAUACAUCACACUCACUCGUCCAGAUUUGUGCUUUGCAAUCAACAAGCUCUCACAAUUCAUGCACCAACCAACUCAAACUCAUCUUCAACAACUUAAACAUGUACUCAUAUACCUCAAGCUUACACUCAACUAUGGCUUAACACUCAAGAAACCAAGUUAGCUAACACUACAUGCAUUCAGUGAUACAGACUGGGGAGGGAAUUUGGAUGACAAAACCUCUACCUCUGUAUUUGUCAUUUACUUUGGUGGAAAUCCAGUCUCAUGGUUGUCCAAACGACAAAGAAUAGUAGAUAGAUCCUCCAUAGAAGUCGAAUAUAUAUCAGUUGCCAACACUUCAACUGAAAUAAUAUGGUUACUCAACCUUUUUGGAGAACUUGGCAUAAAACCACACACUCCUACUCUAUUCUGUGAUAAUAUUGGUGCCACCUAUCUAUGCUCUAAUCCAUUGUUCCACUCUCGCAUGAAACACAUUGCCAUUGACUAUCAUUUUGUUCGUCAACUUGUUCAAAUGGGAAAGCUAACAAUAUCUCACAUAUCAACCAAAGAUCAAAUAACAGACAUUCUCACAAAGCCAUUAACUAAAGCCAAAUUUGCUCCACUGCGAGACAAGCUUGCUGUCACCAGUGGUGACCCAAUCUUGUGGGGGUGUAAUGAAGUCAAUCACUAUCUAACCAAAUCAAAUCCCUACCAUAAGCAAUCAGUUAAGGUAGUUAAAGAAUAGGAGUAAUCCUAGCACUCAUGAUUCCUAGUUUAUAGGGAAAUCUCAACAUUCCUACUUUAUAGGAAUCUGAUUGUUUUCAAUCAUUAUGGAUCUCUAUAUUACUUGUUGUACACAUCUUGAAGAAUAUGCAAAAAUCAUUUCUCUUCAAGGAUAUCAUUUGCUUUUGGAGUGGUAGUGAAGUUGGCAAGUGUCUCAAGUGCCAAAUGGAAAAAUUGAAUUAAUAAGAAAAACCCAUAUGGAAAUGGUCAUAACAUAUAGGUUUGGUGUUAAAAAAAGUUGGUCCCCUGAUUUAAUAAUUUGAAGUUUGAAUAUCAAAAUUAGAAUAAAGUUGAGGAUUUAAAAUAAAUUGCCAUUGUAUAUCAUAUAUUUUAAAAUAUCUAUCUUCUAAUUAAAUUAAUUUGGGGUGUUAUAUUUGGUGAGUGAAAAUCACCUUGUACUAUUUUUUUGUCUCCUUGCACUAGUCUAAUAGAGUCUUAACACAUAAAUAAAAUUUAUAUCUAAUUUUAUUUAUUAUUUAUCAAGAAAUAGUAACUACUAUUAGUAGGCAUAAUUUUAUUAAUUUGAUAUAGAAAUAGAUAAAUAUUGAUAUAAAAGAUAUUCACCCACAUUUGGUGCCAUUUGAUCCGAGAAAUCCCAUUUCAUUAAUUUUAUACACACUUGUUUUUAUUUCAUUUGAAAAUGAAUUUAAAAUAAUAGUAAAUGAAUAAAGUAAAUUACAUAAAAGGUACAGAGGAGCCUUAAAUUCCCAUUCCUUAAUAGUAUUGUAAUUGUAAUAUCAUAUAAAUUUGUAUUGUAAUUGUAAUAUCAUAUAAAUUUUUUGUGUGUAGUUAUUAUUUUCUCUAAUAGCUUGCUUUAAUUUGUUUAGUCAUAUAUAUCUUCCACAUAAAACAAUUUUUCAUAUGCAAAAUUCUAACUUACGUCAUUGUUUAAAGGGUAGCAGACAUGUUCAUGUUCCAUCUAUAUCAUCUUUAUCAUCCACCCACUUGUAUAGUCCUGCUCUAAUUGUGACCACAGAAAUAUUUAAAUUAAAUUAAAAAUAGACUAAAUUAUUUAUGCCCCGACUAAAUAGAAAUGAUUAAAAAAUGUAUGUAGAGAAAGUGUAAAAAUUUUAUACAUUGUCAACCCAUUAUCUAUCAUUUAUCAACUCUUUAAAAUAGUAUUACCAAUGAAAAAUAAAUAAUGUAAAGAUUGUGUAUAGAUCUUUAUGCCGACGAAACAUAUAUAUAAAUUAUAAGAAUUUUUUAUAUUGUUAAUUUUUUAAGUAGGACCUAUUCUAAUUGCAUAACUAUUAAACUCUUUAUACACAUUCCUUAUUAUAUCAUUUAUCAUUUAUUUAUGUUACUUUUUUGAAGAAUUAAUUAACAAUCAUUAAAUAUGAAUUAUAAAUUAUAGAAGAAUAAUAUAUAAACUCAUUCUAUAUAUAUAUUUUUCAUAGCACAAAAGUGAGUAGAAAAUAAAUAUCAUUCUUUACAAUCAUUUUACAACGUCAAUAUACUGACAAUUUAUUGAGUGGACUGAAAGCAUUAACUGUAAGAGAUAUUCCAAUAAAUUACACAAAGUGGGUACAAUUAUUUAUGCAAACACAAUUAUGUUAUGCAGAGAGAUACAAGGAUAUCUAUAUCUAUAUAUAAAAACAGCUUUAUAGAUGGAGUGGAUAGCAUUCUAAGCAUAUAUAUAUAUAUAUAUAUAUAUAUUGUGAUUAUGGGUUGUGUGGAGGGAAGAAUGGAAAAGGUGAAGUUGGAUAUGGCUGUGGAAGAGGCUCAUAAAUUGGAGUUUCUUUCUUGUAAAAUGGCUUCUUGAGUUGUGGGAAUUUCUGAUGAUAAAAUCCUUUGAAUUUAGCUUCUUCAUCAUCAACUUUAGGGCUUGUCUUUGCAAUACCUUCGUUUACAAGCUUCUCAGCAGUAUUCACUUUAUCCCCAGCUGCAAAAUAAAUUCAAAAGAAUUAUUAUUACAUAAUUUACAGACAUAAUAUUUCUAUGAUAAUUAUAAACUUGAAUAUGUCUACAUGUGGGAGUAUGAGCUAGUAAUAUGAAGCAUGCACAAACCUGAAACUUGAGUUGUUGGUAGAGCUGAAGUAGCAUAAAAGAAAGUGACAAUAAGCAACAAGUGCAUAAGUGCAGAUGGCUUUCCCAUUGAGAAAACAAGGUAAGGUAUGACAAUUAUGAUAGGGGAAUGAAUACCUCAAAGCCUGAGUUUCAAUAUUACAUUUACUCUUAUUUAUAAUAGAAAUACCCACCUACCUUGGAAUCUUCAAAUUAAUUAUACCACUGUUUGUUUUUGAGAUAUUUUUUAGUGAACAAAUGUAUUUCUUAACUUAAGACUUUUCUUCUUCUCUAUUGUAUGCCAUCUAAUAACCAACUCAUAAAUAAACCCUACUUAAGUUCAUUUGUGAGCUGAGUUUUUUUUAAAUGAAAGAGAAAAUUUGAAAGUUAUGAAAUACACUUAUGAGAUAGAUCUGAAGUCCUCUCUUGCCUUUGUUUUCCUCAAAAACUCAACUCGCAAACACACCCUAAAGUUAUGUUUGCAAGUUAGAUUUUGGAGGGGAGAGAAGAGAAAUAGAAAGCUUUAGAAUCAUUUCAUAAUUGUAUUUUAUGAUUUACAAACCUUCGCUUUCCCUUCUUUCCCUUACAAAACUCAAAUCGCAGAUGAAAUCUAAAGGUUUGUUUGCGAAUUGAGUUUCGGAAGAGAAUAUAAGACUUCAACCCUAUCUCACAAGUUUCAUGAUGUUGGAAUCUUGUCUUUCUCUUGUUUUCCCUCCAAAAUCUAACUCGUUGUUUUGUGAGCUAGGGUUUGAAAGGGAAUAAAAGGAAAAAUAAAACUUCAGAAUUAUCUCAUAAAUUGUUUCAUGACUUUGAAACUUUCUUUUUCACUCACUUCCCUCCAAAGUCUAACUCGUAAAGAGACCAUACUCACUAAUGAUGUUAAAAUUACAUUAAUGGCCAUUGCGUGAGUAUUGAGCAACAAAGUCAGUUGCAAAUUAGAAUUGCUAUUUUCUAUCUCUCUCUAAAUGCAUUCCAACUAACUAAUUGUAUUGGUAUCUAAAAUUACAAGCUUAGUGUAUUCACAUUUAAUUUAUUGCACAUAGCUAGGCCACUUAAAGUACUUUUAAUCACAAGCUAUAGCUAUUAUAAAUAACACUAGAUUAUUGGAGUAAAGCAACUCAUGCAAGCUUUUUUCUUUUCAGCUUUUACAGUGUUGCCAUACCUUGGUGUGGCCUAGUUGUUUUCUCAAUGACAAAGGUUUCCAGUUUGCAAUAUGCAUAGUACAUUUCUGUGGUCCGCUCUUGCUUGUUGUGAGUUUCUUUUACGCUAAUUCUGCUGCAGCAACAUAAAUUUCAGGUUGGUGAUUAUUCUGACACUCACUGAUACCAUUUUUGUUCAUUUUUAUAACUUAUGUUUUGACCUUUUGUGCAAUUAUUAUUCAGGAAAUGAAGAAUUGUCGAAGACAAGCUUAGAAGUUCAUGAUGAAGAAGCAAAGUUCAAAUGAAUUUUUCAUAUAAAACCAUUAGUCAAGAAGCCAUUUUUCAAGAAACCCAUUUCAGUUGUUAAGCCUAUACCAAAGCCAUAUCCACUAGUGAAAAAAAAUAUUUCUAUUCAAAGUUCUAAUUCAACAGCGCGUAUUUUAGAUGUAUAAUAGUGUUUUCAUGCGCUUUCUAUUUGAUCACAGUAGAUAUUAUCAUGAUUAACAACGCUUCUCAAACGCUGUUGUAUUGAUAUAUACCACAACACAUCAUAUAAAAAGCGUUGUCAUUUAUUGCAUAAAUACAAUAGUGCUUCUUUCACACAAUGCUGUCAUAUAUGUCUUACAUAAACAACGAAUGUUAUAGGUAUUAUUAACAACGCUUAUUGUUGCGCUGUUGCAUUACAUAUAUAUAUAACAACACAUUAAAUAUUCUCAAACAACAACUUAAUACAACCGCGCAACACACACGUAACGUUGUUGUUGUAUUAAGCAUGUCUAUAAAAAGCGCUCUUGUAUUAAUCAUUUACAACAGCGCAUGUCAGGGUUUCCCCUAGAAUUCGUUUGUUGAUUUAUAGAAAUUAAUAUUUGCAUAUACAUCUAUUAGCAGCACAAACAUUCUUAAUAGCACAUACAUUUAUACAUUCUCAACAAUACAAACAAAUUAAUACAUAUGAGAAGUUUGUUUUAUUAACAUCAAUACAAUAUAAUACAAACUACAAACAAUGAAUAUCAUGACAAUUAUAUUUUGACAAAGUACAUAAUUACAACAAAAAAUAUGCAAAUUAGAAAGAAACAAAAUUAUACAAAUUACAAACAAUCAAAAUUAAGUUAUAAUUAUACAAAGACUACUUGUAUCUACUUUUUCCUUUUCUUUGAUUGUUUUUGGCUUGUACGUUCAUCAUUGUUUAGAAGAAUAUAUUGAUUCACCCAGAACCCUUCAUCGUGAUCAUCUCUUGUAUAUAAAUCAUCUUUCGUAGUUGGUCCGCUCUCACACGACUCAUGUAUCCCAAAAAGGAUCACCUUCAUCAAUAUCUUCAUAUUUUUGGUCAUCAAUAUUAUUGAUGAUUAUUUUGUUAGUUAAAAGAAUAAUGAACCAUUUCAUAUCAGCUGUGUCACUAUCAUAGAAUAUUUGUUGAGCUUGUGAUGCUAUAAUAAAUGACUCAUCUUUAUAUCCCGAUCUGUUAAGAUCCAACUACAUGAACCCUAAUUCAUUAACUCAGAAAUCAUUGUUGUUAUCAAUCCACACACAAUAAAAAACCGGCAUCUGAAAUAUUGUGUACUCCAAUUCCCAUAUUUGUUCAAUCACACCAAAGUAUGACAUGUUCGCAUAUAUUGAGUUUAUAUCUUUUGUACUUGACAUGUGUAAAGUUCGAGCAACAAGAGUCACACCACUAUUUUGUAUUGUACUUUGAUCAUCUUUUUUUCCGUAUAAAAUGUGAACUCAUCAAUUAUGUAACUAGUAUAAGAUAAGACAUGAAUACUUGAAUCAUUAGCUAACCAUUUCAAUAUUUCAGAAACUGAAUGUGCAUUAAUAUUCAACUCCUCAUUAAUGUGAUUUUUAGCCACUUUAUGAAACACCGAUUAUGCUAUUUGGAAAUCCAAUUUUCAUUCUUACUUGGGUAAGACUUCCUUAGCAUCUCCUUGUGUAUUUCAACAUAUGAAUCAACCUCGUCGGCAUCAUGUAAAACAUAUAAGCGUGCUUACUCCAAUACGGUUAUUUUUAUAGUCAAUAUUUCAUUCCUAGUAAUACCUCCACCAAAUGCUUUUUUGCAUAUCGAGGCUUUGGAAUGCCCAUGAAAUCCCCAUCGGUGACGUAUUCGAUACAAAAAUCAAGAGUUUCUUCAACAACAUAUCGCUCAACAAUACAACCCUCUGGUCUUGAUCGGUUCUUCGCAUACCCUUUUAUUGUCUUCAUAUAACACCAAUACAACUCUUUGGUGUUGAUCGAUUCUUCACAUACCUUUUUAAUGUCUUCAUAUAACGCUCAAAGGGUACAUCUAUCUUAUAUAGGUAGGGCCACAUAGUUGUGUAUCUCGAACAAGAUGAAUGCUUAGAUGAAUCAUUAUGUUAAAAAAAGAACGUAGGAAAUACAUUUCAAGCUCACACAAAUAUAUGCAUGUCUCCCACAUUUGCUUGAAGUAUUCAAUUAAUGAAGCCAAAUAUAUAUAUAUAUAAAUAAAUGUCAUUUCCUGGUUGUUUAGGUCCAGAAACUAAUAUAGAUAACAUCAUAUUUGUGCUUCAUACAUAGAGAAGGAGGUAUGUUGUAUAUCACCAACAUCACUAGUCAUGUAAUGUGGGAGAAACUUUGAACACUAUGUGAGUUAAUUCCAUAUGUUGAUAAUGUAAGACAUAAAUUUCUUGAUUCUUGACCAAAACUAGGAUAAUCAUGAUCAAAAUUUCACCAUUAAGGAGAAUCUGCAAGAUGCCGAAACUUGUUAUUUUUAAUCCUUUCUUUAUCAUGUCAUGUCAACUUCUUUGCAUCAUUAGUAUUGCUAAACAUAUGUUGAAUCUUGAUUUGAUGAAAAAUACCAUACAACCUUUUUGGUAAUUGAGUCUUCCUUCUUAUAUCGUGAUGCAUUAUAUUUAGGACAAAACUUUAAUGAAAAAUAUUCAUGAAAAAAUAAGAUGCAAUCAUUUUCACAAGCAUGUAUCCUAGUGUAAUUCAUGUCAAUGGAGCGUAACAUUUGUUUUGCAUCAUAGCUUCGAGAAGAGAGUACAUUAUCCUCCAGCAACAUAUCCUUCAAAAUUGCAAGCAAGUCGGUGAAACUCUUAUCAGUCCAUUAAUUAAUAGAUUUCAACUUAUACAACCUUGACACCGCUGCCAAUCUUGUGAAUUUAGUACAACCAUCAUAUAUUGGUUUCUUAGCAUCACUUAUCAACCGCUGAAACAUCUCAGGACAAUCCUAAAGACCCUAUUUGAUAGUGUUUGCCAUUUCCUCGAAACGAUCGUCUUCAUAUGCAUUUGUGUAGUUUUAUUUCAUAUACAACUCAUCAUCACAGUCCAUAAUGUCUCUCUUCUCACCAUGUCUUGUCGAACAUGUGUAACUUUGAUCAAUACCGUGACACACUAAAUGAACUUUUAACUCAUUUGGAGUAAUUCGGCAAUGCCUCCUUUUCUUUUAGGACAACCUGAUAAAUCAAGAAAAAACAUAAUGUUAAUUAAUCAUAUUUUGAUAAAUAAUGUAUGGAAAUUAAAUAUAAUUAAAAAAAUGAGCACUUAUAACACGUUUUUCCGCUUCUUGAACUUGCUCAUUGUCGAUGACUUCAUCCUUGUUCUUACGGGCAUCAACACAUAGAACAUAACCGAUAAUGUAAUUAUAUAUAUAUGCAUACAAAACAUAACCAAUAAUGUACUUACAUAUUAAUAAUACUUACAAUUUUUUCUUCGAUUCCUCUAUACCCCGCUCGAGAAGCCCUCUAGCAGUUUUCAUUACUUACUUUCUGCAAAAACAAACAACAUUAACAUCAACAAUCAUAUAUAUGUAUAUAAAAAACAUAUAUAAGAAUAAAGUCAAUACACAGAAUAUGAUUUUACGAAGAAAGACUCGUCUUGUAUGUAAUAGGGUGACAAAAAUCUUCCAAUCCUCAUCUUCAACGACAUUUACAUAUUUCUUUGGAGGUUUUAGGUUGACAUUCCACCAGCAUCUCUGAUACAUUUUCCGGUAUCGGUUCUAAAUUGUCGGAGAGCCUUGUCAUCAGAUUUAUUGAUAUAAUCUUUAUACUCCUCACCAACAUCAAAAGUUGACUGAAAUUAAAACACAUAUAUAUUAUAUUGCAUGCCAACAUAUGAAUAUAUGUACUUGCAUGCAAACACAUAUACGUACAUUGCAUCAAAACGCAAAAACAUACACUGAAAAGUAAACUUACAGUUAUUUCAUUCCAAAUACGUUCCUUCACGAUAUUCAACCUAAAAUCAGUAUAUUUGUUGAAUGUUAGCGACACAUUUUGCCUAACCACGACCCUAAUAAUAUAGCUUACCAAUGAGUUGUCACCAUUCGAGUUUAAUGUUUGGCCUUUUGAGUUUCAUUGAACUUCUAUCUUCACAUCCUUAUUUCUUGUCCGAAUGACAUUUUUAUGGAAGUCAUUCCACAUGGAGUUCGUUUUUUUAGCAAUGAUUUGCUUGUCUUGUGGAUUCGGUGUAGAUUCGUCACCAUUGUGAGAACCAUGAUCACCAUUUGGGGAAGCAAUUGAUGAAGUUUUGUUUUAGGGUUUAUGAGAGUAUGUGGGUUUAUGAGAGUAUGAGGUUUUUUUCCGAGUAUGUUUGAGAGCGUAGAGGGAACUGAAUAAUAUUUUAGAUAUUUAAACUGUAAUAACAAUUCAACAACGCUAUUUACAUAAAUCACUAUUAAUAUGACCUCUUCAACAACGCAAAAUAAAGGAUGCAUUGUUGUUAUUGCAUCUUCCAUAACGCAUCCUUGAAAAAGUGUUGUUAUCAAGUGUGAAUCCAGCUGUUGACUGCUUAUUUUCAUAGACACAUAUUCUACAACGUUUCCUUGAUGGUGUGUUGUUGAACAUAAUCCAAUUGACAACACUAUCUCAACUAUGUGUUGUUGAAUAGAAUCUAAUUGACAACGCAAUCUUAAUUAUGCGUUGUUAAACUUAAUUCAUUUCCCAAAUUAACAACAUAUCCCUAAUUUUGCGCUGUUAAAUGAACAUAUUACAUUACAGGUCAAAAUGCAACAUGAAAAUAAGUUAAUUAACAUGAAGUUGUCAUGAAGUAAAUUACCAUGUGUUUAUUAAUAUGAAACUAGAAAAAUAUUAAACAUUAAGUUUUUUUAUAAUUUGUUUAUUAUGUUUUGUUAAUUUGCUUAAUGUGUUUAUUAAUAUAUGGAACUUAAAAAAUAUUAAACAUUAAUAACUUUUCAAAUAAGUCACAAAAAAAUAGAAAUUAACAUCCAAAAUAAUUGUUCAUUCUUCAUUCAAAGAGUCAAAAUAUAUUCUAAUGAACUAAAUGAUUUGGUAGAAGACAAUAUAAUGAAAUAAAUGAUGUAGUAUUUUACAAUGAACCAAUGAAGCAAAUUAAUGAACUAAAUGAUUUAGUAGAUUACAACGAAGGAAAUUAAUGAACUGAAUGAUUUGGUAGAUGAAUGAACUUAAUGAUUUUCAAAUUAAUUUUUCAUCUCACGUAAAUCUUGUAUAACAACCACUUUCCUUUUGAAAUUUGGGUCAUUUUGCAAAAUAAAAAAUUGUUAAAGACCUUGUUGACAUGAUUCUGAUAUAGGGUUCCCGACAAUACAACUUUAGCACUUUUAACACUUCGAGUUGUUGAGAUCUAUUGUCUGUCUUUUUUCUAUUCCUUUUAACAAAACUUACGUUUUUCUUUUUAUCUUGUAUUGCUCUCUUUUUUCCUAUCUUCAUCGCUUUGGAUGCCAUGACAAUAUGAAUGAGACAAAAGAAAAUAUACAAAGCAGAAAAAAAUAAUAUAUAGAAACACGUACUCUUAAUGAUGAACUAGAACAUGGAGUGAACCACAAUUUAUAGAUGUGCAACCAUUAAUAUUUGAAGAAACAAAGAGACGCAUAACCGCUUAACCAUUAAUAUUUCUAGAAAUGAAGAGACAUAUAAUCACUCAACCAUUAAUAUUUCAAGAAACGAAGAGAUACAUAAUCACUUAACCAUUAAUAUCCUUGAUACUUAAAAAGUCGUAUACAAUCAACAACGCAUAAUUAAGAAAGCGUUGUUACUAUGUCAUCUUCAACACCACUUAUUCAAUGUUGCGUUGUGGAAUUGAUGAACAUUAACAAUGCUUCCUAUCACAUAUGUUGUUAUACAUAACUCAUUCAAGUCAACGCUAACGUUAAUGAUGUUCAACAUCGCUGUUGAAGUUACUCACAUUGACAAUGCUUGUUUUAGUAUGGGAUGUCGAUGUUCUUCCACCUCGUUUUCAACAACGACAUUCAAAAUUGUGCUAUUGAAUGAUCAUUGUUAAUUACGAUAUAUGGCGUAAUGUAUUCUAUUUAAUAAACCUAUAUCAAAGUCAUUCCCCAUUGUUAAGCCUAUAUCAUAGUCAUUUGGAGUGAAAAAACCUAUCUUUAUUCUAGUUUUUAAGCCAAUUCCUAUUGUUAAGUCCAUUCCAAUUGUUAACCCAAUUACAAAGCUCAUUCCUAUUGUUAAGCAUAUUCCUAUUGUGAAGCUUAUCCCUGUUCCAACUUAUAAGCCGAUACUAAAACCAUUAAUAGUGAAAAAACCUAACCUAUUCUUGUGUUUAAGAAACCAUUCCAUAAACCAUUUUCUAUUCCUAAAAAGCCAUUCUUCCCUCCACUUAUUCCCUCUGUUUUUUUAUAAGUAAAAUUGUAUUAAAAAGAAGGUACUAAAGGUAUGAGAUUUACAAGGAAAAGUCAAAUAAUCACAUAAUUACAACAAGAGCUUUUAGGAGCAAUAAGAGUUUAAACAUUCACAUGGAUUACAGAUCCAUUCGAUGUAUUACAUUAUUGUGUGUUUACUUUUGUCUCGAAUCUAAAGUCAUGCUUUCACAUUUGCAGUAUCUACAAUUUGUUAGAAGGGGACCUUGUUGUUGUUGAAUAUGAUGUCAUUCCUUGCUAGCCAGAUUGACCAUAUCAUGGAUAGUCAUAUGAUGCUCUAGAACUUCCUACUCUUUUUAUUGGUAGAUAGACCCAUAUGCAUCAUGAAGUGUCUUCUCAUAUCUUAUGGAAGUGUAAUAUCAAACCCCAAAUCUUUGUAUAUCAUCUUCCAAAGUUGGUAAGUAAUACUGCAUGUUGACAAUAAAUGUUGAGAAGUUUCCAGUUCUUUGUCGCAUAACUUGCAAGUGGUAGCUCCUUGUAGUUGUGAAAUCCUCAAAUAAGCAAAGUGUCCAUGGUGGAUAUUCUGUCUUGGCCUUUAGAGGUGAUUUGGACUGCCAUAAGAGUUUGUAAAUGUUUUGAUGAUGAUAUGUUGAUUUAACAGUAUAUUAGCUCGACUUGUCAUGAAUCCACAACCAACAAUCUUUUGCAUCUCUCUUCAUGGUAGUUUGUUGUAAGACAUGCAUAAGAUUAUCAGUUAGUUCAAAUUACCAAACAAAAAGUUAUCUUCGCCAAGAAAGAGACUAUUCCCAAUUUUCAUUCGACCAAUGUCCCAAAUCUCUUAUAUUUGCAUCCCAAUCUGGUGUUAAAUUAUAACAUAUUUGUAAAUGGAGUAAAAAACUAAACAUAUAAUGUUAGAAGAUAAGUGAAUUUAUGUUUUUUGGUACUAUUAUCUAGAACUAAAUUUUAACUUUAAUUAGAAUUCAAUUAUUAAUGUAUUAUGUUGUCAAUAUUUGAUUGAUUAUCUUUACAUAGAUAUGUCUUCACACAAUCUUUAUUCCUCACACAACAAGCCUUUUUGUACCGUAAUAACUUAGAUUAAUCAGUUCUAUGAGAUGAUAUCUACAUAGUUAUGAUUAAACUACCACGUAACGAUCAAUAAGAUCAAUUGUUUCCAAAUUGCAUCCUCAACCUUAUCUCAUCCAAUCAUAUUUUGACAUUUAUCAAAAAGAAAAAUUAAGUAGUGGAAAAUAAAUUUUAAAUUGCAUGUUAUUAUUUUUUUAUUAUAUAUCAAAAUCUAUUAGAGAAUACUUGAGUGAAGUUGUUAUGCUACUAGUUUCAGUCUAACUGAUUUUGUUAUCAGUUUAGUUAGUAUGUUAAGUAGUUUCCCUUUGUAUAAAUAGGACUUGGAUCUAUUGUUGUGUUCAAUGAAUUCAUUCUAAUAAAAUACAAAAUCUGAUUUCAUCUUUUCUCUUUGUUUCCUUCCUUUUCUUGCUAACUUUACAUGGUAUCAUGUCACCUAUGACCUUCGUCUCCGAUCCUGAUCCUCAUGGUGAUUCUUCUCCUCCUCCUCCUCCUCCUGCCGCUGCUGCUACGUCGUUUCAAUCUUCGUCCACACCCGCUGCUGCGUCGCUACAAGCUUCGUCUCCAUUACUGAAUCUUCCAUUGCCGGCAAUGAAACUUACCGACAAGAACUUCCUAGUGUGGAGUCAAUUUGUUCUUGCUGUUCUACGCUCUAAUCGGUUUCAACGAUUUAUUUCAUAUCUUGAUCUUCCUCCUCAAUUUCUCACUGAUUUGGAUCAUCUUCAUAAUCAUGUUAAUCCUGCCUAUUUGAGUUGGGAUGAACAAGAUCAAUUAAUUUUGUCUUGGAUUCUCAAUUCUCUCUUUGAGGAACUUCAACCAUGAGUUAUCGGUUGUUCUACCUCGCGACAAUUGUGGCUGGAAAUUGUGGAUCACUGUCAAGCACAAACAAAAGCUCACGGUAGAUAGUUACGUUCUCAACUCAAAUCUAUCACAAAAUGAUCAAAUUCCAUUUUUGAAUAUUUUACUCGGAUUAAGGUGCUUGUUGAUUUGUUAAGUUCUAUUGGCUCUCCUAUUUCUCAAGCGGAGCAUAUUGAUUUCGUUCUUGAUGGAUUACCGAAAAAAUUUCAUCCUGUUAUUACGGUUGUGAAAAGUCACUUGGAUCUUCCAACAGUGAAUGCUCUUCAAUCUUUUCUUCUUACUUUUGAAGCGUGAUUAGAACGUCAUCGUAGUCAGUCAAUCUCGGAUGCAUUAUCGGUUAAUGUUGAUGUUGCUUCACCAAUGAGCUUGUCGGAAACUAUUUCCUCCGGAUAUCUGUUUCCUCCUACGGUGUCAUUGCCCUUCCCUCAACCUCAUUCUGCUAUGGUUAGGGCAUCUGCUCAAGGUUUUGGAGGGCCUCGUGGUGGUUUUCGUGGAUUUAGAGGUGGUUCCUGUGGUUACAGAGGCUUACGUGGUGGUGGAGGUCGUUUCUCUUCCAAGAACAAUUACUUUUGCACCUUUUGCAACAGGUAUGGUCAUGACCUCACCUUUUGCUACUAUGCACCCCCAAAUUUUGGCACACCUUACUCCCAACACUAUGGUACACCUUCAUCUACUAGAUAUCCAUCAAGUAUGCCACGUCAGCAAUUUAAUCCUAGUCAGAAUUUUAAUCCCAGUCAGCAGCCUCAUCAUACUUUUUAUUCUAGUCAGCAGUGGGCACCUCAUUCCUACAUGGAUCCAACUUAUCCAUUUAACCCUCAUUCAAUGUUUGCAUUGCCUCCGUCUUCCAAACUUGACCAUGAACUCUCUUCUUCUCAUCCCCAUGGCUUACAUCCUCAUACCAUGACUGCCAUCUCAACUGUUAAUGUUUCUGCUAAGCCAUCAACCUCUGUUUGGUAUCCGGAUUCGGGUGCUACUCAUCAUCUCACUCCUGAUCCAAUAUUAAUUCAAGAACCAUGUGAGAAGUUCAGUGCAGAUCAGAUUUAUAUAGGUAAUGGCACUAGUAUUGGUAUUAAGGCUUCUAACUGUUAAAUUUUGUUCUCCCACUUGUCCUAAUGUUGUGUUUUUUCUUAAUAUUGUUUUACUUGUUCCUUCCAUUACCAAGAAUCUUCUCAGUGUUUCUCAGUUUUCCAAAGACAAUUCAUGUUAUUUUGAAUUUCAUUCUAACUAUUGUCUUGUAAAAUGUCAAGGUUCUGAUCACAUUUUGCUGAGAGGAACUCUUACAUCGGAGGGACUCUAUGCCUUCUAUGAUCUUCGGCCUCUUCAUCUUGCUAAGCCUUCAUCCUCUUUACCUAAGCAUAAUAACACUGUCAAAUCUAGUUUACCUAAGAUUUACAAUUCUAGUGCUACUGAUUCUAAUAGUCAUGGUUCUUCAUAUUUUCUAUGGCAUUGUCGCUUAGGCAUGUUCAUGAACGUGUUGUUACUUAUGUAUUGAAUCAAUGUAAUGUUUCUCGUAUGAAUAAAAUUGUUCUUGAUUUUUGUUCAUCUUGUGUACUUGGUAAAUCUCAUAGGCUCCAUGCUACUACUUCCACUUCUGUUUAUACUAUUCCUUUUGAACUUCUGUAUCUAGAUUUGUGGGGACCUGCUCCAAUGGACUCGAUAACAGGAUUUAGAUAUUAUUUUUCUAUAAAUGAUGCUUCCACUAGACACACUUGGAUAUUUCUGCUUAAACAAAAGUCAGACACCUUAUCUAUGUUUAAGCAUUUUGUUACAAUGGUACAAAUUCAGUUUCAUCAUUCUGUUAAAUUUGUAUAGGGUGAUCAGGGGGUGAGUUUAGGUCUUUUCCCUUUUAUUUGUAGUCCCUGGGCAUAAUUCAUAGAGUCAUAUGUCCUCGUACUUAUCAUCAAAAUGGUACAGUGGAACGUAAACAUGGGCAUAUUGUUGACACUAGUCUUACUGUUCUUGCCCAUGCUUGUUUGCCAAUGAUUUUUUGGAAUCAUGUUUUUCUCACAGCAGUUUAUCUCAUUAAUAGACUUCCCUCUCCUUUGUUGUCAAAUAAGUCACCUCAUAAGCUUUUGUUUGAUAAGGAUCCUGACUAUUCUUCUCUAAAUGUUUUUGGAUGUUCUUGCUUUCCUCAUCUUAGACCUUACAAUAAGCACAAGUUGAAGUUUCAGUCUUCUGAGUGUAUUUUCCUUAGUUAUUCCACUUCCCACAAAGUUUACAAGUGUCUUUCAAAAGAAGGUAAACUUUUCAUCUCCAAAGAUGUUAUUUUCAAUGAGUAUUCAUUUCCUUAUGCUUCCUCCACUAAUACUGGUUCUACUUCUAAGUCUCCUCCCUCAUGUCCACUUGCCACUUAUGUGUUUCCUAUCACUAGUGAGUCUGUCAUGCCUGUUAAUCAUUCUCCACCCGUUGCUCCCAUAUCUCCUAAUGUUCCAAUCAUUUCUAGUGAUCCUCAUUCUCAUAACGUCUCUCCUAUUGUUCCUAUCAUUUCUAGUGAUCCUCUUUUUCCCAUUCUUGUGUCUUUUGGUAUUUCACCUCUUGGUCCAUCCACCUCAUUGGACUCUGGGUCUCCUGGUGUGGUGUCUUCCAACAGUCCACCUGUUGUUUCCAAGUCUCAAUCUGUCCAUCCAAUGCAAACUAGAUCCAAGUCAAGUAUUUCUAAACGGAUUGUUCCUCGAUCCUUUCUCACUCAUGUUGAACCUUCUAAUGUCACAAUUGCCUUAACAAUACCCAUUUGGAAGGAUGCGAUGACUGCUGAAUAUGAUGUUUUAAUGAAGUUAGGCACUUGGUCUCUUACUUCCCUUCCUCAUGGAAAGCAAGCCAUUGGCUGUAAAUGGGUGUUUAUAGUAAAAAAAAACCCAGAUGGCUCAAUAAACAAGUAUAAAUCUAGGUUGAUUGCUAAGGGAUUUCAUCAAAAAUUUGGUGUGGAUUAUACAAAAACCUUUUCACAUGUGGUCAAGCCUGUCACUAUUUGGAUUCUGUUGACCUUGGCUUUGACCUAUCACUGGCCUAUUAAGAAAUUAGAUGUCAAUAACGCCUUCCUGAAUGGGGACCUCACUCAAGAAGUAUAUAUGCAACAACCUCUUGGUUUUAAACAUUCUGACAAGAACUUAGUUUGCAAGCUUCACAAGGCUAUUUAUGGCCUCAAGCAAGCACCAAGGCAAUGGUUUGACAAACUCAAGCACACCUUGGUUUCUUUUGGUUUCUCUAUCAGUAGGUGUGACAACUCUCUCUUUAUCCUUCAUACUUCCACCUAAAAGAUUUACGUUCUAGUUCAUGUUGAUGACAUUAUAGUCACUGGAUCUUCUUUAGUUCAGGUCAAAAAGGUUAUUGAUCAACUUAGUUCUGUUUUUGCCCUCAAGUAGUUGGGAAUUCUUGACUAUUUUCUUUUAAUUGAAGUAAAGUCAUUACCCAAUGGCUCCUUAUUUCUAUCUCAAUCCAAGUAUAUAAGGGAUUUAUUGGAAAGAGCUAAUAUGAGCUCUGCUAAGGCCAUUGCCUCCCCUAUGGCUCACACCACCAAGCUAACUAAAGAAGGAGCAAACUAAUUUGAACAACCUUCUUUGUACAGGUUUAUAGUUGGUGCUUUACAAUAUACCACUGUUACAAGACCAGACAUUGCAUAUUCUGUCAAUAAAGUUUGUCAAUCUCUGUCUACACCACUUGAGGAACAUUGGUCAGAUGUGAAAAGAAUUCUUCGGUAUCUAAUUGGGACUGUCACUCAUGGAAUUCUUCUCCAACCUGUUUCACCAGCUUCUCCUCUUCCUCUCACUGGUUUCUGUGAUGCUGACUGGGCAUUUGAUUGUGAUGAUAGAAAAUCUACAUCUAGAGCUUGCUUGUUUCUAGGGAAUAACCUUAUCACUUGGUGGUCAAAGAAGCAAACUACUAUUUCCAGAUCCAGCACUGAGGCAGAAUAUAGAAGCCUAACUCUUAUAGCUCAAGAGUUUCAAUGGGUGCAAUCGCUUCUUCAAGAACUUAAAUUUAGUCACACUACUCCUCUCUUGUUGUGUGAGAACCUGAGCAUUGUUGCUCUUGCUCAUAAUCAUGUUCUUCAUCAAAGAACAAAGCACAUAGAACUUGAUCUAUUUUUUGUUCGAGAUAAAGUUCAGUCUAAGUCUUUAUUAGUGAAGCAUAUUCCUGCAAAUUUUCAGACUGCCGACAUCCUCACAAAGCCUCUGUCUUCAUCUCGUUUCAGUUAUCUCAGGAAUAAGCUUCAAGUUUUUGAUUUCCAUGAUGUUCAAUCCCACCGUCAGUUUCAAGGGGGAAUAUUAGAGAAUACUUGAGUGAAGUUGUUAUGCUAUUAGUUUCAGUCUAAUUGAUUCUGUUAUCAAUUUAAUUAGUUUGUUAAGUAGCUUCCAUUUGUAUAAAUAGGACUUGGAUCUAUUGUUGUAUGCAACGAAUUCAUUCUAAUAAAAUAUAAAAUCUGAUUUCAUCGUUUCUCUCUAUUUCCCUUCUUUUCUUGCUAACUUUACAAAAUCUAAUUGAAUACUAUAUAUUAUUUUUUAUUAUAUAUAAUAUAAUAAAGUCUAAUUGAAUAUUAUUUUUUGUUAUAUAUCAAAACUAAGUAGUGGAGACACAAUUUGAAGACAAUUGAUCUCAAUUAGUUUGAUACCAUUUGCUUUUGGAGUUUUAGCUAGUAAAGUUGGCAAGUGUCUCAAGUGUCAAAUGAAAAAAACCUAUAUGGAGAUGGUCUUGACAUUGACAUGUAGGCUCGUUGUGGGGGAAAAUUGAUUCCGUAAUUCAAUUAUAUGAAAUUAAGAAUAAAUUGAGAAUUUAAAAUAAAAUGUGAUUGAAUAGCAUCUAUUUUAAUCUUCUUUUUUUAUAAUCAAAUAUUAAAAUGUUAAUAUUUUGUUGUGAAUGAAACUCAAACUUACAACCUCAUAAAUUACAUUUCUUAAACCUUUUAUAUUAAACCAUUAGACUACUUUACGACUCCAUAAAAUUCCUCUUCCUUAAUAGUAUUGUAAUUGUAAUAUCAUAUAACUUUUUGGUAGUUAUUAUUUUCUAUAAUAGUUUGCUUUAAUUUGUUUAGUCAUAUAUAUCUUCCACAUAAAACAAUUCUUCAUAUGCAAAAUUCUAAUCUAGAUCAUUGUUUAAAGGGGAGUAGACAUGUUGAUGUUCCAUCUAUACCAUCUUUAUCAUCCACCCAUUAGUAUAGACUUGCUCUACCACACAAAUAUUGAAAUAAAAUUAAAAAUAGAUUAAAUUAUUUAUAUGCACAUAUUAUAUAAGAAUCAUUUAUAUUGUUAAUUUAUUAUGUAGUAGCUAUUGAACUCUUUAAUAUAAUAAUUCAUGUGAAAUAUUUAUAAUUGUUAUUGUAGAUAUUUAUACAUAUUCACUAUAUUAUUGUUUAUUCAUUUGUAUUAAUUUUUUGAAGAGUUAAUUAGUGAUAGUUAAUUAUUAAUUGUAAAUUAUACAAUAACAAUAUAUAAAACUCAUACACUUACAUUUUUAUCUCUAAUAAUACAAACAGAAGUAGAAAAUAAAUUUCAUUCUUUAGAAUCAUUUUACAAAAUACUGAGAAUUUUAUUGAGCUGACUGAAAGCAUUAACUAUAAGAGAUAUUCCAAUAAAUUACACAAGGUGGGUACAAUGGUUUAUGAAAACACAUUAUGCAGAGAGAUAAAAACAUAGCUAUAUCUAUAUAUAAAAAAGCUUUAUAAAUGGAGUGGAUAGCAUUCUAAGCAUAUAUAUAUGAAAUAUAUUUGUGACUAUGGGUUGUGUGGAGGGAAGAAGGGCUUCUUGCUAGGGAUAGGAAAUGAUUUAUGGAAUGGCUUCUUGAACAGUGGAAUAGGCUUAUGAAUAGGAAUUGGUUUAUAAACUGGAAUAGGCUUAUGAAUAGGAAUUGGUUUAUAAACUGGAAUAGGCUUAUGAAUAGGAAUUGGUUUAUAAACUGGAAUAGGCUUAUGAAUAGGAAUUGGUUUAUAAACUGGAAUAGGCUUAUAAAUUGGAAUUGGUUUAUACACUGGAAUAGGUUUAUAAACUGGAACAGGAAUAGGUUUUACGACUGGAUAUGGCUUUGGAAUAGGCUUAUAAAUUGGAAUAUGUUUCUUGUAAAAUGGCUUCUUGAAUAGUGGGAAUUUGUGAUGAAAAAGUCCUUUGAAUUUAGCUUCUUCAUCAUCAACUUUGGGGCUUGUCUUUGCAAUACCUUCGUUUACAAGCUUCCCAUCAGUAUUCACUUUAUCCCCAGCUGCAAA